GUCACUUGUCUUCCUUUUGGCUAAGAUCAAGUAUAGUAUCUGUUCUUAUCAGUUUAAUGGUAGGGGACUAUAGCACCCCAGUUACACCAAUAGAUGGAUCAUCCAGACAGAAAAUCAAU
rnacentral:snRNA from 2 species